UUAUACCGCAUACCCUCUACGGAGAAAAAGCAGGGGAUCUUCGGACCUUGCGCUAUUGGAUGAGCCUAUGUCGGAUUAGUUAGUUGGUGGGGUAAAGGCCUACCAAGGCAGCGAUCCGUAGCUGGUCUUAGAGGAUGAUCAGCCACAUCGGGACUGAGACACGGCCCGAACUCCUACGGGAGGCAGCAGUGGGGAAUAUUGCACAAUGGGCGCAAGCCUGAUGCAGCUACGCCGCGUGUGUGAAGGAGGCCUUAGGGUUGUAAAGCACUUUCAGUAGUGAGGAAAAGUGUUGCGUUAAUAGCGCAAUGCUGUGACGUUAGCUACAGAAGAAGGACUGGCAAACUCCGUG
rnacentral:rRNA from 1 species